rnacentral:ribozyme from 1 species
AGGCAAAAUUUAAGCAAAAAAAAAAGUUGGAGAAAGCGCUGUGAAAAGUGCACGGAUCGGCUCUCUUCCUUUCUCUUCUUUUCUCCUUCUUUUUCUUCUUCUUCUUCUUUCUCUU